rnacentral:lncRNA from 12 species
CCGUGGUCUUGUACAAGCCAUAGACUCCUCGGAAACCUCAGUUUUCCCAUUUCUGGGGAAAUGGGGAAAAAAUUGAACCUACCUCAAGGCUUGUUGUAAGGAAUUACUGAGAUGAGCUGGAUGAAACAGUUCAACGUCUGGCACAUAGUAACAGCCCAAUAUCAUCGUUGUUUUGGGGAACCCUUUCGGGACGCUCAUUUAUAAGCGUCAGCGUUACCAAGAAAGGAUGAGGAGAAACAGGAUGUGAAAAACACCGAGGUGACAAAUAACUCCUAUCACAAUGAGGCUUGUGAUCAACUACCAGUCAACUCUUCAGGAGCAAGAUAUUUUAAAAUAGAUAUAAAAUGCUGCUGGGGGGACUUAGGUUAAAUACGAGGAAAACAGUUAACUGCGACGGCAACAAAGCACGAUGACACCUUACUCUGAGACAACGGCGUCUCCUUCUGAGAAGCUCUGCUGUAACAGGAGAUAUUUUCACCUUUUUAGGGUAGUGCACGUCAUGAGUGUGAUAAGUUAACUCUCAACAUCCUUUCAGCUUUAUGACUCAACAGUGGCUACCCCCCCUCCCCAAAAUAUAAACUCAAGGAGAUGAAAUCCAGAUUUCGGUUUAGAAGCCAUGCUAUUGAGACUACUGGCUUGCUUGUGAAAAGCCACAGCAAAAUUUUCAUUUCCUCCAAAACAAGAAAGGUCCUGGCCUGAGCAAAUGGAAGUAGAAAAGCCACCCUGAAAAGCUGUAACCCCCAGAGUCUGUGGGCAGAAGUGGGGGACGCCACAACGUUCAGGUUGUAGUCCCGUCCUCAGGACCCUGGUUCUUCCUUUCCAGCAGGUUGCAGUACACAGUUAGAUCCGCACCAUCCCAGGUGAUCUGGGGUCUUGUUCCCUCACUUCAGGCAGUCCUUAAAUAAAAGAACUCGGUCUCUAUUAUGUCUGGCAGGGAGCAGGUAUUCAAUAAAUAUUUGUUGAAUGAGCCUGAUCAUCCUGAUGAAAAGAGACUCUUUUGUUCCUUUGGGCCGUUGGGUUUACCAUUUGCUAAAUGGCCUGUGGCUUCCUGGUCCGACAAAUUUAUGGCGCCUGUUUAUGUCUUUCUCACCCACAGGUUUCAACCGAAUACCUGCGGCUGUACUUACAGAAGGUGGCCAGGAGGACCCAUCGAUUUUGGCAAGUACCUGUGGUCUGAAAGAGGAAUCAACAAAAACUUUGAAAAGUUCAGGGCCAAAAAAAAGGAGUUAGAAAGUAAGAGAAGGAGUGAGGGCUCAGUCCAACAACUUGGAUGAACAAAAUGACAUUUGCAAAGUUUUUGAAAAGCGGAGUUACUAAGACUGUGUCCAGGUAGGAACUAAUUGGUCAAACUUGCCAUAAUAGUUUGCUACCUGGUUUUUAAUGACUGACCGGAACAGUCAAGCCACUUAAUGCACACGGCUGGUAUUACUGGGGAGCUUAUACUUCUAGCCACCAGAUUCUGUGGCACUGGAAAUAAAAUACACCAGUCAAGUGGUAGUGUCUGGUCC